rnacentral:lncRNA from 1 species
AAUGAAGAAAUUAUAUAGAAUGGAGUGUUGCUUAAUCAGAAUGGAGGGAGAAAUGAGGAGGCUGCACAAUGAAAUUAACGUUAUGAAGAUGAACGUGAACGAAAUAAUCGAUGGUAUAAAAGGCAUAGAUAUUCAAAUGAGAGCUAUCAUAGAUAUGCUCAAAACCGAUGUUACUGAAGUAUCGAAAAGAUAUCGGGUCGAGAUUUGUCGAGUCAUAACUAUGCAAGCUGAUUUAAAGGAAGAUGAUAAGAAGCAAGGCUCGGAGCAAUCAAAGUUAACAA